AGUGAGGAAUAUUGGUCAAUGGACGAGAGUCUGAACCAGCCAUCCCGCGUGCAGGAUGACGGCCCUAUGGGUUGUAAACUGCUUUUCCACGCCAAGAAAUCUCCCGACGUGUCGGGGGCUGACGGUAGCGUGGGAAUAAGCAUCGGCUAACUCCGUGCCAGCAGCCGCGGUAAUACGGAGGAUGCAAGCGUUAUCCGGAUUCAUUGGGUUUAAAGGGUGCGCAGGCGGGCAUUUAAGUCAGUGGUGAAAUACUGCCGCUUAACGGUAGAACUGCCAUUGAUACUGAAUGUCUUGAGUAUGGUUGAGGUAGGCGGAAUGUGUAGUGUAGCGGUGAAAUGCAUAGAUAUUACACAGAACUCCGAUUGCGAAGGCAGCUUACUAAGCCAUAACUGACGCUGAGGCACGAAAGCGUGGGGAGCGAACAGGAUUAGAUACCCUGGUAGUCCACGCCGUAAACGAUGUUCACUCGCUGUCUGCGAUAUACAGUAGGCGGCUGAGCGAAAGCAUUAAGUGAACCACCUGGGGAGUACGAUCGCAAGGUUGAAACUCAAAGGAAUUGACGGGGGCCCGCACAAGCGGAGGAACAUGUGGUUUAAUUCGAUGAUACGCGAGGAACCUUACCUGGGCUUAAAUGUAGAUUGCAUUCCCGAGAAAUCGGGAUUCCCUUCGGGGCUAUUUACAAGGUGCUGCAUGGUUGUCGUCAGCUCGUGCCGUGAGGUGUCGGGUUAAGUCCCAUAACGAGCGCAACCCCUAUCGUUAGUUGCCAUCAGGUCAUGCUGGGGACUCUAGCGAGACUGCCACCGUAAGGUGAGAGGAAGGUGGGGAUGACGUCAAAUCAGCACGGCCCUUAUGUCCAGGGCUACACACGUGUUACAAUGGCCGGUACAAAGGGCAGCUACCACGCAAGUGGAUGCCAAUCCCAAAAGCCGGUCCCAGUUCGGAUCGGAGUCUGCAACCCGACUCCGUGAAGUUGGAUUCGCUAGUAAUCGCGCAUCAGCCAUGGCGCGGUGAAUACGUUCCCGGGCCUUGUACACACCGCCCGUCAAACCAUGGGAGCUGGGGGUGCCUGAAGUCUGUGACCGCAAGGAGCGGCCUAGGGUAAAACCAGUGACUGGGGUU
rnacentral:rRNA from 1 species